rnacentral:rRNA from 1 species
GAUGAACGCUAGCGGCAGGCCUAAUACAUGCAAGUCGGACGGGAUUUGGGAGCUUGCUCCUAAUGAGAGUGGCGCACGGGUGCGUAACACGUAUGUAACCUACCUUAAUCAGGGGGAUAGCCUCUCGAAAGAGAGAUUAACACCGCAUAAUAUAUUUUUAUGGCAUCGUAGAAAUAUCAAAUAUUUAUAGGAUUAAGAUGGGCAUGCGGAACAUUAGCUAGUUGGUAAGGUAACGGCUUACCAAGGCUACGAUGUUUAGGGGAUCUGAGAGGAUGCACCCCCAACCUGGUACUGAGACAAGGACCAGACUCCUACGGGAGGCAGCAGUAAGGAAUAUUGGUCAAUGGGCGCAAGCCUGAACCAGCCAUGCCGCGUGCAGGAAGACGGCCCUAUGGGUUGUAAACUGCUUUUGUACCGGAAUAAACCCUUUUACGUGUAAGAGGCUGAAUGUACGGUAAGAAUAAGGAUCGGCUAACUCCGUGCCAGCCGCCGCCGUAA